rnacentral:lncRNA from 1 species
CUCUGCUUUUGCUGCUCCUUGGCACUGGCUUGACAUGGUGUCUUGUUAGCGCUUUGUAGGACAGUUGGUUGCCUGUGAACAACUAACUUGAGAGAAGAGACUGUAGAGUUUGAUGUCAGCCUAGUCCUGCUGUGCCAAGAGGGAUAGGGCUCAUGUUCCAUCUGGGCUGCUGGAAAAAUCUGUCACCUAUCUGCCAGAUUCCUUGGAGAGGAAAAUGCACUUGCUGGAUGAAGAAAAAAUGAUCUGGAAAAAAGAAGACAAAGAGAUCUGUCUGCGGACUGAAGAGAUCAAACAUUGCAAGAUGUGGACAUCUGAAAUACCAAGGGAGCGCCGAAUGUCCCGGGUCAGGAGCUGGAAAUAAUUGACGUCGUGGACUUUCCCAGAAGCCCAGCUAUGCCAGACAUCCAAAGGCACGGCUCUGCUGCUGGUGGGCUCCAGACUGAUCACAGGCUUGCUGUAGUGGUACUUUCACCUUCGGAGGUUUUACAUCUCCACGGGUGACAGGCACCUGGAGCUGCUGUUGCUGUAAAGUCUCCAAAGCACCGCAACCGCAGCAAAAAUAAAUAAUAAUAACCGGGAAGAGCAGCGGAGAGAAAACAGUUGUGCAAGAGGCGUGAGAAGCUCUCGUGCCACGUGGGACACGGGUAACAAUCCUGCCUGUGAGUGACCAGCAGGUGCCACUGCAGCCCCGGGAACAGCGGGGACUGCGGCACGGGGGACACCUGGUGGCCCUCUCGGUCCUCCAAGGUGAUGAGAGCUUGUGCUGUGCCUCCUGAUACUGGGGGUGUAAAAGGCACACUUAGGGUAAAACCCCCUUACAGACACAUUUGCAUGAUUAAUUCUUAGGGCAGGGGACACUCUUCCUAUGUUGGACUCUCUGAAAUGGUUCUUCUUCCUGUCUGAGUUUCCUGCUUGUGCUUGCCUUAUGAUAAAGUGUGAUCCAUCAUGGUGUUUCUGCCUCUGCAUGAAGGUGUGCAAUUAAUAUUUCCUCCCAGGUUACUGUUUUGGGCUCAGCAAGCACUG